GGCCCAAAUGAUUCCCUUUGCAAAAAAUAUUUAAAAAAGUGAAAAAAAAACACGAAAACAGCCCAACAGGAAAACUGAGAAAAAACUGUACAAUAAAAAUGCCACAAAAAUCUAGAAAUUGCCAUCAAUUGUUAUAAUUGUUGAGGCUACCACACAGUACCUACAGAAAAAGAAAAAUGCCAUGAUAGAUGGCAACUAGCAAAAAUUUCAUGAUGUACAAAAAAUAAAAAAAAUUGCCAUGCUAUGGGAAAUAAAUUGCCAUGGUUGCACGAAAAUAUUGAAAUUUGUUCAAAUAUAAAUUGCCGUGGGCGUCAAGAAAUUGCCAUGGUCUGCACACCAAAAAAUGCCAUGUUACAUAGAGAAAAUUGCCGUGACCAUAAAAUUAAAUUUGCCAUGGUCACAAAAAAUAAUAAUUUUGACAAUAUGCAGAAAGAAAGAAAAUUUGCCAUGGUCAUAAAAACACGCAUUGAUGGCAAAAACAAAUCUAUAAGUUUGCCAAAUGGUGGCCAAAAAGUGGCCUAAAUUUGUCGUCGUUUCAAAUUUACCGUGAUGCACAUUACCACAUGCAUUAACAUGUUUUGAAAAAAAGUGAAUAUUACCACGAGUGAAUAAUUUUGGUACUACCAUGAGACAUGGACAUAAAAUUUGUAAUGAUCUAUAAAUUCAAAAUUGCCAUGGAAAAUGCUAAAUUUUCAAUGAUCAAUGAAUUUUUUUUGACAUGGUUAACUAAUGAAAUUUGCCAUGACUUGUAAACUUAAUUUGCCAUAGUCAUUUACUAAAUAUUGCCAUCUUAUUGGCAAUUAAAAAAAUAAAAUUUGCCAUGGCGAUACAUCAAUCUAAAAAUUGCCAUGGUCAAUUAAAUAAAUUUGCCAUGGCAAUGAAUGAGAAACUAAAACUUCGUGGCUAAUGAUCUAUAAACUGAAUUUGCCAUGGUCAAUUAAUAAAAUUUACCCUGGUCUAUGAAAUAAAUUUGCCAUGAUUAGUUAACUAAAUUUGCCAUGAUAUACAAACGAAAUUCCCAUGCUUAAUUACUAAACUUACCAUGAUCAAAUGAAAAACAAAGUUGCCAUGGUUAAUUAAUGAGAAACUACAAUUUGCCAUGAUUUAUGAACUAAAAUUUGCCAUGGUGAAUUACUAAUAAUUACCAUGAUCAACGAAAAAAAGUUUGCCAUGAUUCGUUAACUAAAUUUGCCAUGACUCGCUAACUAAAUUUGCCAUGGUUGUUUGCUAAAGUAAUUGCCAUCGUCUUGGCAAUAAAAGUAAAUUUGCCAUGUCAAUAGAAAUGAAAUUUCAGUGCUACAAAGUAAAAAUUGCCAUGUUCAUAGAAGAAACAUGUUAUGAAGAUCAAAAAAUCAUACAAUUUUUGCAUCUAUCCCAAUCAACCAAGCAUGCAGACGUGGACUCGAUGUACCAGUCUGACAGUUAACUGAAAUAUGCCAUUACUGAAACAAAGAAAGAUGGACCCAAAUGGGUCGAUCAGAUUUGCUUGACUCAACAUGAUAGCAACACCAGAUGAGGUGUAUUAGCAGUAAGUAUGAAUGCCCAAGAUUCCUUGGCACUCUCUACUACAUUUGUAUUGAAAGGCAGUGGAAAACAAAUGAAAGAAGCAUGUUAAUACUGUAUCAAACAGAGGUGGAAUCGAUCAAUCAAUCAGACUUGCGGCUUCAACAAAAAAUCACGGCGAUGAAAUGAAUGGAUGCAUCUUGUACCUAGAGCUUGCACCAGAUGGAGGGGUCGCCGGCUCACGAUGCCGUUUAUUCACUCAGAGCAGAAGCGGGAGUACCUGCCACCGCAGCUCGAUGUCCUCUAUAGCCGUCGGCUCCCCUCAGCGACCGCGCUUAGCUGUCGCCCCAACCAUUCGCAGCUGGCGCUCCUGUUCGCACGACCAGUCCACGCGCGACGCGACGGGGCAGCCAGCACGGCGAGCUGCCCAUCCAUUCACGGCUGGGGCGACCCCUGGUGCUCCUGAUUGCGCGACUGAUGCGGGCCGACGGGUGACCUCCACGCACGGCGCGACGAGGACAGCCGCGACGGCGAGGUGCCCGUCGAUGUGUGCGGCUGGGGCGGCGCCUGGUGCUCCUUCUCGUGUGACGACACGGAUCGCCGUCCACGCACGACGCGACGGGGCAGCCACGACGACGAGCUGCCCAUCGAUGCACGGCCCGGGCGGCCCCUGGCAAGGUGCUCCUGCUUGCGCGGCCUAUGCGGGCCGACGGAGCACCUCCACGCGCGGCGCGACGGAGACAACCGCGACGGAGAGGUGCCCGUCGAAGUGCGUCCGGGGCGGCUCCUGGUGCUCCUGCUCGCGCGUACGACGCGGGCGAAGCAACUCCACGUGCGGCGCGACGAGGGGCAGCUGCUGCAGGGUGCGCCGCCCUUGUUCCCGGAUCAACGGUCGUCUGGCCUCGUCGCCGGCAACGACGUCGUGAGUGGUGGGGGACGAAGAAGGAGAGGGCGAGAGAGUGGCGGGGGUCUGCAGAGUGACGAUGCGGUGGAUGGAUAAGAGACGUGCGGCCGGAGGCGUUCGCGACGACACCCAGUUUCCCCCGAACGAAAACGCUGACCUGGAUAAUCUUCUCUCUCUAAGAUUCGUGUAAAGGAUCUAAUGAUAGAAAAC
rnacentral:lncRNA from 1 species